GAUGAAGAACGCAGCGAAAUGCGAUAAGUAAUGCGAAUUGCAGAUCUCCGUGAGUCAUUGAAUCUUUGAACGCACAUUGCGCCCUCGGGUAUUCCCGAGGGCAUGCCUGUCCGAGCGUCAUUAUCCAACCAUCAAGCUCGGCUUGCGGUUGAGCCCCGCACCGUCCCCGGGACGGUGGGCUCGAAACAUGUUGGGCGCCCGUGAGGUUGUCGGUGCAGCGAGCUCUCGAGCACGUGCCGGGCAACCGCUCAGGGCGUCGGCCAGCCCCCCCAUUUUCUCAGGUUGACCUCGGAUCAGGUAGGAAUACCCGCUGAACUUAAGCAUAUCAAUAAGCGGAGGA
rnacentral:misc_RNA from 1 species